rnacentral:rRNA from 1 species
AACGUAGGUGGCGAGCGUUAUCCGGAUUCAUUGGGCGUAAAGAGCUUGUAGGUGGCUGUGUAAGUUGGACGUGAAAACUCCGGGCUUAACUUGGAGAGGCCGUUCAAUACUGCGCGGCUAGAGGAUGUUAGAGGGGAGUGGAAUUCCUGGUGUAGCAGUGAAAUGCGUAGAUAUCAGGAGGAACACCCGUGGCGAAGGCGGCUCCCUGGGACAUCCCUGACACUGAGAAGCGAAAGCUAGGGGAGCAAACGGG